UUCUACUUUUACUAAUCCACUAUUUGCUAUCUUACUACUUUAUAAUUAAUACAUAGUAUUCUAUUUUUCUUUGUCUCAUAUGCCUGUACAUAUAUGUGCUAUAUUAGUGUCUUUGAUACAUAAACCCCUUUGAUUGUCAAAUCUUGGCAUCUUAAUGUAUGUUUUUACAAGCUCUUUCCCAAGUACUUACUAGACAUAUUCUUUUUGGUUUUUACUUUGGCAUUCGAUUUGUUGUACUUGCAUCUAAAAAAGAAAUCAUGGGCCUUGGAAGAUGGUUGAGCAUUCAAUUAGUGUCAAGUAAGAUACUUUCUACAAGGGUAGUGUUUCCACUGCUGUGGCAGGGUAACCAAUCUUUCUCAUAUUUUAAUAUGAGGUUAGUAAAUAAUUUAAUUACAAUUUAUGGAAUCUAGACUACUCUGUUUUCUGUAUAUUUGAUGGCAUGAUUUUUUCCGUUGAAUUGAUCUGUUUGGUUAAGUUCCUCAACACUUUUUAUUGACUUAACAUCUCUUAUAUGCCAGUUAGGUAGUUUUAUACAUAGUCUACUAUGUUUAAGUUUGUUAUCUUUACAUGUCCGUUUGAUAAUUAUGAUUGCUGCAACAAAUUCUGGUUUACUGAGUGAACAUGAUCCCAUAUAAAUAGUGUUGUAAAAUACUGCUCAAACUAACUAUGUUAGUUGUAAUGUUACCCUGUUCUAAAAAUUUUUUAGCUUGCCUAUAUUGUUUAUCCUUUGUGAAUACUUCUGCUUCAGGAUUCAUUAAGCAUCAACGUGUGACUCACCUUACGUGGGGUAUUGCUUUACGAGCUGUUUUAGAUGCUUUGAGGAAGCCUGCAGAUUCAGAAUUUUGUUCCCUCCUAGUUUAUCAGUUAAUGUUAUUAUUGUGAAUUUCAGUAUUACAUUGGAUUUAUGACAUUCUGAUGUUUUCGUUUGGGAGUAUGGCAAUGGAGCAGUUUGUGGACCAUCUCAUUGAGUGGCCACAGUAUACCGUCAUAUCCUGCACUUUGUAGCAUUUAUAGAUAGGGCACUCAACAGUAUUUCGGCGGCUUAUACUGAACCUGAUGUUGGCCAUACUGCCAAUACUGAUCACCGAAAUGGUCAUAUUGAAUCUUCAGCUCCACAUAUAGAGACUGCAGGCCCACCAUUUUCUUUGAUCGGACCUAGCAGCAAUUGUCUGGAUUAGCAAUUCCCUCUUCGAUCCCACUGCAACAGAGACCACCAAGUUCUCUGAGUUCACUCCUAAUUACAUGAAGCCAUCACAACACACCUACCCUUCCUAAGUCACUCGGUGGUGCUUUGCCGUCAAUACAAUUUGCCUCGUCGGAUUUCCAUGGUCUUCUAGAUCAACCUCAGCAAGUAAAUAAUCAGGUUUAACUGUGCUACUCUCUCUCACUGUGCGCUUUAUGGAUUACAUUAACAUGGGGACUGGUUUUACAACUAUGAGAAGAGAAACUCCCAGAGCUUUUGCAACUCUGUGAAGCUGAAAGUGUAUCAUACCUUGAUGAGGUGGCCAGCAACACAGCAACUCAGGAUACGGCCAAGUAGUUGGACUCUAGGUUCUUGCAUUGCUGAAAAAAGUUUGGUAUAGAUUCAAGACAGUUAAAUGCUCCCUCCGAGGCAAGUUACCGAACGGGCAACUGGAGCUUAAGACAAAGCUCUUGGCAGAUGCCGUAUCAAAUGCUUCAAAUUAUCUGUCAUUCAUCAUGAAUUGUGUUUAUAGUGGUUCUAUUUUGUGUAUUGUGUAGUGUUUUUUUGUAUGCAUGUGUAAAGUGUGUCAUUCAUCAUGAAUUGUGUUUAUAGUGUUUCUAUUUUGUGUA